rnacentral:lncRNA from 1 species
UCUGACUGCAUAGACCAUAUCUAAAGUUUAAUUGUGUUUCUUUCAUACAGUCAUUUGAACUAUCUACAGCGCAUCUCUUGCAGGUUACACGUGGCUACUGGAAGAUGUCCUGCGUGAUUGUUCAAAGGGGCCCAUUGAGAGUGCCUGACUCUAUGAGGAUGAAGCAGGAAAGUGCUGUGCAAAUCCAGGACAGAGUGUGAUUUUCGCAGAUGCUGUUAUUAGAAAAGAAAACAUCGGGUUUCACUUUCAAUAUGGAAAGAGUUGAGACACUGCAGGCUUUUAUGAGGAAUGCUUUGGAUCAAGCAAGAGACACUGAGUAGUUUCCUUCCUUCCAAGAUUUCAAAGCAACAGCACCAUAUUGAGUCUUAACUCAAAACCUUUGUUCAGAAGCCAGCAGCUGGCUACUCACACCAAGAUGGCACUGGAUGUUUUUGGAGUGGGAUAUCCAGGUGACAUUUUAAUAAAAGCUUUCAUGGGC